GUAGGUGGCAAGCGUUGUCCGGAAUUAUUGGGCGUAAAGCGCGCGCAGGCGGUUCUUUAAGUCUGAUGUGAAAGCCCACGGCUCAACCGUGGAGGGUCAUUGGAAACUGGAGAACUUGAGUACAGAAGAGGAAAGCGGAAUUCCACGUGUAGCGGUGAAAUGCGUAGAGAUGUGGAGGAACACCAGUGGCGAAGGCGGCUUUCUGGUCUGUAACUGACGCUGAGGCGCGAAAGCGUGGGGAGCAAACAGGGAUUAGAUACCCUGGUAGUCCACGCCGUAAACGAUGAGUGCUAAGUGUUAGGGGGGUUUCCGCCCCCUUAGUGCUGCAGCUAACGCAUUAAGCACUCCGCCUGGGGAUACGGCGCAAGGCUG
rnacentral:rRNA from 1 species